ACCACUACUAUGAAGAUAAUCGGCCA
rnacentral:piRNA from 1 species